UUGGUUGAACUUGGUUCAAACUGAAAUCAAUGGGACAAGCUACUAUUGAUUUCAAGUCCCAUUGAUUUCGGUUUGAGUUAAGUUCAGCU